UGCCACACUGGUGACUUCAGGGAAGCGGGAGGAUUUUUCCAGUUCUGUUGUUUCUUCAUCAUCUCCGACUCCAGCAGUAGCCAUGGUGAUUGGAAAAAAUUAA